UGUUGAUUAUCUCUAUUUAGGCUGUGCGGUAUGGGGUUCGUCCCCACCGCGUCCCGGUAUGGCGCCGCCCCCUUCCCAUUUCGAGCCCUCCGUCGCCGCUCCUACAUCGUCACCAUCGUCGGGUUCUCGACGCCAAAGACGGUCAUCCCCUCUCUCACACACCAAUAAACCCCCAAAUCCAAAAUCAAACCCUUCUUCCGGAGCCACAAUCGGUGAAGCUGAGCAUGUAAUUGAAACAUUUCUCCGGUGAAGAAAGGUGCGACGGAAGGCGGUGGUGGUGUAGGUACGGCCGGCGGCGGUGAUGGACCUGAACGGCGGCGAUGUGAUAGGGUUUGAAGGUGUUGAUACAUAUUAAUGAAUUUAUUUUUCUGGGAUGGCAAGAGGGAAUACCUCUGUCCCUGCUAUGGAAAUGACCAAGUGGUUCGACACCAACUAAUCAAUGGCGUCUCACAUUGUCGGUUAUCCCCGUAUGGGUCCCAAGAGAAAGUUGAAAUUCGCUCUCGAAUCAAUUCUGGGAUGGCAAGAGCGGUGCCGAGGAUCUGCAGACUGUUGCUGCUGAUCUCAGAUCAUUCAUCUGGAAACAAAUGGCUGCUGCUGGCAUCAAGUACAUUCCCAGCAACACUUUCUCGUACUACGAUCAGGUUCUUGACACCACCACCAUGAUUGGUGCGGUCCCACCGAGGU